rnacentral:rRNA from 1 species
UACGGGGGGAGCAAGCGUUGUUCGGAUUUACUGGGCGUAAAGGGCGCGUAGGCGGCGCCGCAAGUCGACUGUGAAAUCUCCGGGCUUAACCCGGAAAGGUCAGCCGAUACUGCGGGGCUAGAGUGCAGAAGGGGCAACUGGAAUUCUCGGUGUAGCGGUGAAAUGCGUAGAUAUCGAGAGGAACACCUGCGGCGAAGGCGGGUGCUGGGCUGACACUGACGCUGAUGCGCGAAAGCUAGGGAGCGAACGGG